CCGCUUGUUAAGAUGAAUACUUUACUAUACACAGAGAUACUUUGACAGACAGCAGAAAAUGGAUGAUUUCACAUAUUUCACACUUCCGGAAUCAGGAAACGAGAUCAAACCACUUUAGCUACAUCACAGGAUACCCGCCUUCCUCCAGGUUUCACCACACAUUUUAUAUUCAGCCUUGACAGCAGAAGACGUUUAUCACUCCCGGAGUCCUUUGAGCCGCCGCCGUGGUUUGUGUUUCUCUGUGUGUGACUCACUUGAAAGCACUUGAUGAAUCCGGGAGGAGAAAAAACAAAAGGACAGAAGAAAGUGGUCGGCUUCAUCGACUUCCUGUUUUUACCCACCGAUGGCUAUAAACUGGGAGAAGCACACAUGUUGACUCUCCUAAACAGUCGUACGUGGUUGAUUCUGAGCAUCCGAGGCUUUAGUGUUUGUACAGGAAGCUGUCAAGCAGCAGGGAAUCAUUUCAUUGGAUUUGGACCCUCAUAGUACUUAAGUGUGUGGUGUUGUGGGUGUGAGCGUGCAUGCUGUACUCUUUGCAGGGCUUCUUUGUAGAGAGGAGGCCAUGUGUUUAAGGCCCUACUCCCUUCUGCAGCGCCUGGGAGUUCCUCGACAUAUUUGAUGAAGUUAUUCAUGUAUGCAUGUUCACAACCAAUACUUAAUAUUGUAAGCUGACGGUUCUUAUUUCAUCACUUGCAUGUCUGUCUGUGUUAGCAGCAGGAUUCCUCCUGUUACUCAUCCUGAGGUCCAAACGUUCUUUUCCCCUCAAAGGUUUUGUUAGGGAGUCUGAGCCUAAGGAGGAAGGUGAUGCGUUAUAUUUUGCACAGAUAUUACAUGACUGGCCUGAACGGAGCCCUGAACUCAUGCAGCACCUCUGGGAUGAAGGCGGCCAUCAACUGCCUUCCCGAACUCGUUGCUCUCAGGCUUUUGCACUCAACGGGAGCAAUUCUCCAAGAUGAGAAGAGAAUGGUUUCAUAUCAACAGAUUAUUGUUUAAUAACCUCAUAAUGAGUGCUAAAGGAUUCAAAUGAAAGAAAUGCCUGAAAAAUAUAACAAUUAAUUUUAUUUUCUGUAUAGCUGGGGUAAAUUGAUAUCUGUACUGUAUUUUACAGUACAGAUAUAUAUGGAAUAUGUCAAUGCUUAGUAACAAAAUUGUUCUUCUGCAGAGAACCACACAAAUCAUCAUGUAUUUGCCCCCCACGGUCAAACAUGAUGAAAAAUAGCUCUUUAGUAAGAGUACAAUUUUAAGGACAGGGCUUGAACUUGUUAUUAUAGGUUGCAUGAUUUGAUACCGUAAUGGAUGUACGAUCAAAUAUUUUGUUUUUAAUAGGGACAUGUUUUUGCCCUUAAGUGUCUCUUUCCAAAAUAAAUCAAAAUUUAAAAUCAAAAGUGUAUGACAUAUGCAUGUACUCAGCCAAUGAAAAAAUAUUCAAUUAAAAAGCCCAAAAUGUCGCGAAAAGAUUUGAGUACUUCUUUCAUCACUACACAAUAUUUUGCGUUUCUGCAGCUGAGGCCACAUAGCAACCAACUCCUGUGCAACAGCUCCCUCUUGUGGAUAAAUACAACACAUCAUAAAAUGUGUCAUGACAAAAUUGUAGUCCAAAUAAAAUGUUUACUUCAUAGUCAUACAAACACAUAUAUACAUCUUGACUAAAUGAAAUAACACUUUACUCCAUCUUUGUAUCAACCUGAUUACCGUCCUGUUUACUUCUCUCUCUGAGUUCCUGUAUGGCCCUCCAGCUGUUCUCCAGACUUGCCCUCAGCUCGGCCAGAUCUCUCCUGAUCUCAUCGAGGAGCUCCAGCUUUGACAGUUUCCUGUUGAUGGAUGAGAGCACCUCAUCCUCCUCCUCUUCCUCCACCUCCUCCCCCACAUCUGCAGUGGGACGGACCGGUUCCUCCAAUGACCCCACAGUUUUCUCCCAAAUCAUCUCAAAGUACGAGUCGAUAAAGGCUUCCAGCUCCUCCAGGCUGCUCUCGCCCCAUUGGUCGAUCAGUGCCUGCAGGCCUCCGCUCUCGCUGAGCCCCGCCAGAGUCCGCUCUCUCGGCGCAGGGCGGCAGAGCGAGUGCACGCUGAUGCCGCUUUCCUCCGCGAGCGUCCCGCGUUGCGUUUGAGGUGCAACCAGCAGCAUCGUCGGCCGCUUGGAUGAGAGCGGACGCCGCGCACAGUUCAGUCUCAGGUGAAGGACAUCGUUCGGGAGCCACCCGGGCGGAUUCAUGGUCCACCUCGCCGCCGCUCCCCCAGAGAGCAUGGAGGCUAAACAGGCCGCGAGGGCGUCUCCCACCAGGAUGUCCGGUCCAGUCCAUGCUGUUCUCGCUGCUGGCAGGGCCACCAUCCGAGCGCCACCAUCGGGGCCUCCAGAGCA
ensembl:lncRNA